CAGUCGCCACGGUAAUACAGAGGGUGCAAGCGUUAAUCGGAAUUACUGGGCGUAAAGCGCGCGUAGGUGGUUCGCCAAGUUGGAUGUGAAAUCCCCGGGCUCAACCUGGGAACUGCAUCCAAAACUGGCGAGCUAGAGUAUGGUAGAGGGUGGUGGAAUUUCCUGUGUAGCGGUGAAAUGCGUAGAUAUAGGAAGGAACAUCAGUGGCGAAGGCGACCACCUGGACUGAUACUGACACUGAGGUGCGAAAGCGUGGGGAGCAAACAGGAUUAGAUACCCGGGUAGUCCCUGUCUCUUAUAC
rnacentral:rRNA from 1 species